CAAAUGGAAAGCGCCAGCGAGUGUUGAUUAUCAUCGUGGCCGUAACUUCCCGGGCGCGAUUACACCGUGUCCCGUUCUUUUGGCGGUAUCAGCGCUGAUCAAUCAUUCAAUGGACCCAAAUAGUCUACAAAAUUUUCUUGAGAUUUGAAUAUUUAUUAAAGAUCUCUGGAAAAAAAGGAUCGUCAAGAAUGACAUUAUUGUCAGGAGUGUGCUUGCUCGUGAUUUAGUUAGAAAAUAGUGAAAACAAAGAGAUUUUGCAAUUUGUAUUUGACCAUCUGAUUUUGCAGUGGGAAACGUCAAGAAAAAAAAAACAUGGCUGAGACAACUGUGCUCCGCAAUAUUUCUUCGAGUACAUCGCAUGCAUCUGGAAGACUAAUGUUGCCAUAUUUACCAACAGAACCUCCAAGAUUUAAUCCUCGUGCACUUUCUUAUUCCAUGGCCCUUCAAAGUGCUCCUUACACGGCUCUCCGAGGUGUUGUCGUCGAUGGAAGGCAACCACCACGGCAUCCCGAGUCUCCACGCUACAGGAUAAGGAAGCAGGUCGGAGGGACCAACAGGUGGAGGCUCCCGGAGUCACUCGGAGGUGAUCUUCUGGGAACUUCUCAAGCCAUUCGAUCCAUCAACGAACCCUAUAACAAGAACACUAUUGCUAUUCUAUCAGCUGACAACCCUGCAACUACGACCAACCGCGAUCCGGAUCGUCCCUAUCAGUUCCAUUCCACAGAGGGCCAUGAUAAGCCGAUGACAGCCCCUCAGUUUGCGAGUGAGAGCUGGUACAACCAGAGAGGGCCCAGUCCACAGCCUCCCGCCACCGCCCCGGUCCAUGGGAAGAAAACAACACAACCCCCUGCUCCAAUAGAGAAGUUCCGACCGAUGUCUGCCAGGUCUCCCACGCCUGUCGAUAUCUUUCACUAUCAUUCUGCUCCCGUGCACAGUCUGCUCGGGCCUGACAUCUUGCUUCAGUGUCUGGAUACAAAUUGGGAGUUGCACCGUCCAUACAUCCGCAAGGCAUCGACCCUGACACAGUUGCUACAGAAAGCUAUUGAUAAACCACAUGAAGAACUCUAUUAUAGAGAUCCCAUGUCUGCAACCGUAGACCAGUACAUCAGCAAAAGUCAGUUUUACAGCUCUGAAUAUCAGAAGAUUAGCAGAGAACAGAGUACCCGACAGGCCCCCCCAGACAACGUCAAACAGACCUCCAAGAAAGACAUCAACCACCCAGCACACGUCGUAGCCGCUAGAACUAGUAACAUGGUGAAACUCAAGCUGAAGAUCAAAGAUCCAAUGGUCUCCAAGGAAGCUUUUGCCAUCGCCCUUGGUAACCUAUACCAUGAAGGUGUUGACCCGGAGAGGACCGAUGUGGUUGGGGUUCUAGCAUCUGCACACGCCUUGGGAUUCUCAGACCUGGAACGGAGAUGUGCUGAUAUUAUGAUGGAUGACAUACAGUCAAGUACAGUUUGUAAAUAUCAUCAGGCAGCACUCAAGUACAAGAUUGGUCAGGUUGUGAAUGCCUGUGAGCGUUGGUUAGAACUCAAUCUUGUUCCACAGUUGUCUGUUCAGAUUCAGCUAAGGCAGUUACCCAUAGAACUUCUUCAGAAGAUAAUCAAAUCAAGCAGGUUCUUUACGUUCAAUGAAUACUAUGUGUAUAAGACACUGUGUUACUGGAUCUUCCUUCAGGAGAAUGAUCAUCUUCAGUUAAUGCCAUCCCAUAGUACUAUCGUUACCUUCUUCAACAGCAUGUCACGCUCCAGUGCCUUCAUAGAGCAGGAGCGGGGGCAGCCGUACGCCGGCCUCUUCAUGUCUUUGAGGAUGAGCGGUAUCACCGACACCCGACACCUGGACGACAUGCUCCAGAUGAACGUCGUCCCCAGCCAGUGGAUCCUACGCACCCUGACCUUGCACUACCACGCCCUCCAGGGAGGGGGCGAUAUGUCCCUGAUGCAGGACUUCAAGAAGGAUGCCAUCAGACUCGGUUUCAUCAUUGAACUGGAACCUCGCUACCACUGUGAAGUGGUCUCACUGCAUGGAUUUCACUUUGAGCUGAAAGCACAGCGUGUUGGCAAACAGAACUCGUACCAGUUCUAUAUCCAGCGUCUGAAGCCCCGUGACCCCGCCCUCUCCUUCCGCGUCUGUGAGCGUCAGACGUUCUCGCUGCGGCACGAUCGCGAGGUCCUCUAUUCCAUCCGCAUCCAGUGCCGCAUCAAGGGCCAGGAUUAUGCGUUCAACACGGGCAUCCUGGGAAAGCGGUUUGGGAUUGGACCUAAGACCUGUAAGAGUGAGGUCCUCACCCUGGAGGGACUUUGCUUACCCCUCUAUGUCACCUACUCUAUUCUCUUCCCACCAUCCUAAAGAGAGAGUUUAUUAUCCUAAAACAACAUGCUCUGGAGGUCAAAUGUUAUGGAAAGCCAAAGUCUUAUUCAUAUAUUGGACUUUAACAUUCUGAAACUAUAUGCUAUAGAUGUCAAAUGUUAUGGAAAGACUUGUUCACAUUUAUGCAUUGAAGUUUAUUGUCUUGAAACAACAUGCUCUGGAGGUCAAAUAUUAUGGAAAGCCAAAUAUUUAUUCACAUAUUGGACUUCAUCAUCUUGAAACAACAUGCUCUGGAGGUCAAGCUUAUGGAAAGCCAAAGUCUUAUUCACAUAUUGGACUUUAUCAUCUUGAAAGAACAUGCUCUGGAGGUCAGAUGUUAUGGAAAGCCAGUCUUAUUUACGUAUUGGACUUUCACAUUCUGAAACUAAAUGCUAUAGAGUCAAAUGGUAUGGAAAGCCAACACAGUAGAAGGAUAGAUGGAGAUUUCCCCCCCCCAAAAAAAAAGAAAAUGAUAGUGAAAAUUGAAUAAAGAAAAGAAUAGGAAUUUUGAAUUAAAUAAAGUAAAAAAUGAAUAAAAUGAUAUUAAAAUGAAUAAAAUAAUAGAUAAUAAAUAGUAGGUAGAACAAGUGAUCUACAGAAUUUGGUUCUAAGAAAAUGACUUCUCUGCAAUUAUUGUUUUUGCAUGUAAGAAAAACUUGAAGGCCCAAAGUUUUAUACUUAAACCUAAACAUUUAAAAAUGUAUAAUAAAUCAAUUGAGGUUAUUAUUCGGGGGAAAGGGGGGGGAUUAGUUGACUAAUGGAUUGUAAAUUAAAAUGGCUACUUUAUUUCUCACCAAAUAUACUCACUUGUAUUGGUUUGGUAAUAGACCUACAGAGCACAAGCCGAUAUUAAGUCAUGUAUUUAGACUGGAAUCAGUUUGUUUUCCGUAUUGUCACAAAGAAUGUGAAGAACAUUUAAAAAUGAAUAUCUAGAAAGAAUGUGGACAAAAAUGGAAGUGGAUAACCUCGGACAAACGAAAAAUUAAAAAUGACCAGUCAGAUGUUCUUGUGAAUCAAGUUUAUGCAUUAUUUGUUUUAUUGAUAGUGGACAUGAUAAAGAUAAGAGUUUCAAACAGGCUGAUACAAGUAAAGCUUUACAAGGCAAUCUGAAAUAUUCUUCAUUCUGUUGAUGAUGAUAAAAAUAAUACUAGAAAUUUACAUAUAACUUUAUACAGAUGUUUCUAAGCACAGUUAUAUUUAUCACGAUUAUUAUUAUCAAUGCAUGACGUUUAUCUCGUACAUUCCACCUGUCAAGCUUGUAUUGUGGAAAGCAUUUACAAAUUUAUUACAAAGUAUUAACGCUCAGUAUUUAAUGAGGUGUGUGGUUUUUGUUGAUGUUUACACAGUUAAAGACAUAAUACAAACCCGCCUUUAGCUGUGUACGAAUGCCUGAUGCUAUUUGCAUUGCAUUGAAAUUUCUAUAUAUAUUUUACGAUAUAUUUUGUGAGUUACAAGGUAGAAACAAUUUUAAACCCUGGUGUAGUGGUCCACCUGCACUCCCCCAAUCAGUUAAAUUGGGAGGAGAGACCUGUGGGCCAUAGUGAUUCAGUUUGCUUUUGGCCUUCCAGGUUCAGGUGAUGCCAAAUGAAUAAUAAUAGUAAUAGUGACCAACAGUUUUAUAAAGAAAUGUAGAAAGAUAUGUUUAGUGCAUUAAACAUAAACACAUGUUAAAGACAGCAAUUUUAAGCACUUUUUUUUAUUAUGCACUCAUCAAAGGUUUGAAUUUGAAUCAUUUAGAAUUAGAUUUAAACAAUCCAAUUCACAGUUACACUUAGCAAUUAAAUCAGACAGGGUACAGCUAUUGUCAGACCAAACUUUUAUUUUAUUAUGCCUCUUGUAUUAUUUGUGCACUAUGCUCUUGUAAAAGCACAGUUGAAAGUGUUAGUAUGUUUUCCUGCAGUGUUAAUACAAUCAAUGAAAUAUAACUAUUUUUCAACAUGAAAAAGUUUCAGGAAGAGAUGCCUUAUAAAUACAAAAUUAUGUAUGUUCACAUGAAAUGAUUAUAACUAAUAUAAUGUGACUUUUAGAAAAUUACUUUAAAACUCUUAACUUCACUUAUUUUACAUAGAGCAAGGGAGCAUUAAAACAAACAUAUUGUAUAUUUUCACAGAGCAUAAUAUAUUGAUAUAAAUGCAGGGUAAAGAACAUUAACAACAUUUUUUAAUUGUUCACAUAUGAUAUCAUCCAGGUUUUAAUGUAAAUAUAUAUCAAAUCAACUCUUCAUAGUAUUAUUUUCACUCUUUAUUUAUUUGUAUUAUUUUCAGAUUCCCUCAGUGUUGCUUAGCAAAGACUGCUUAUUUUGUAUAUUCCCAACAAAAUUUAAUUUUAAAGCUUAUAAACAAUACUUAAACAAAAGAAAACUAAAAUCUGUACCCAAUGUAAAUAGAUUAUUAUGCCAUUUUAUUGUUUUUAUUUCUUGCAGCUGAUAUAAACAUACCCUUUUUGCAUUUAGGAAGGGGAAAAUGUACAAAAGAUUUUAAAACCAAAGACAGACUGCUUUGGCAUUUUCUGUAAAUACUUAAAGGUUUUGAUGUUGAUGGAACAGUUUGUAACAAAUAUUUCCACUUUUAUUAUCUAAUUUUAUUUAAUGUUCUAAUAUCUCUUCAUUCUACAGCAAAUAGGUAUUGGUAAAGAACUACUUUAUUUGUCUUCUGAUUUCUGUAACUAAUUUUUCACAAUCAAAUUGUGGUUUGUGGCUGAUUUUUAAUCCUUCUUGUGCAUCCAAUGCAUUGUGUGAAACAUAAUAAAAAGCAACGCAUAAUUAAAUUCUAUGUGUCCAGUUUAAUGUUUUUUCUCUCUGAAAGCUGUUACAAGCCAGGAAUGUAUAAGUAUCAAUAUUGUGACCCCUACGCGUGGCUUUAUGAGCAACUUUAGUGUGAAAUU
rnacentral:misc_RNA from 1 species